UCAGAUCUCCCACUUGCCCUGGUACCCACAGCAUUUUGGCUUCUUAUUCUAGUCUUUCCCUCCCACUCUCUCUGAUCCUGUCCCAUACUUGGGCCCUCUUGGAGGCCAUCACAGGUAAGAGACUCAAUUGUGGACUUCUGAAGCCACUAGAGGCUGGGUAAGGUGGAGCCUGCUUUUAAUCCCUACAUUUGAGGCAGAGGCAGGUGGAUCUCUGCAAGUUCAAGACCACCCUGGUCUGCAUAGCUAGUUUCUGGACAGCCAGGGAUAUACACAGAAAUCCUGUCUCCAAACAAAUGAAGUCCACCAGAAGCCCCUGAAGCUCGCUGUCUGGAUGUGGCAGCCGGUCAGUGCCCCUCAAGCCUCCCAGCCUCUGGCUCCAUAGGAGAGCAAGCAGGCCUUGCCUCAGACCAGCUUCAGGUUGCACGUUUACAACAGAGGUGCUAAAGCCCUUGCCACUAGACUGGGAGUACCUGAGGACGGGCUGCAUGCUCGGCUCCUGGAGGAAGGGUCAGCGUCUGCCUUACCGACUGCUGGCUCCGUCCUGUGGUUCCUAGGCUUCCGCCUUUUCUUCACAUCUGUCCCCGGAGGCCAUGAAAAGGAAGCUUCUCCAAGACCCUGCCGAAAGCGCCAGCCCCCCAGCUCCAGGUAAGAAAGAACUCACAGCCUCUCCUGAGUGAGCCUGAGGAAUAAAUAGCUAAGCAGCCCCAGUCAGGCUCAGACCAAAGGA
rnacentral:lncRNA from 1 species